GAUGAACGCUGGCGGCGUGCCUAACACAUGCAAGUCGAGCGAAGCACUCUACCUGAUUUCUUCGGGAUGAAGGUUUAGUGACUGAGCGGCCGGACGGGUGAGUAACGCGUGGGUAACCUGCCUCAUACAGGGGGAUAACAGUUAGAAAUGACUGCUAACUACCGCAUAAGACCACCAGCACCGCAUGGUGCAGGGGUAAAAACUCCGGUAGGUAUGAGAUGGAUCCGCGUCUGAUUAGCUAGUUGGUAAGGUAACGGCUUACCAAGGCAACGAUCAGUAGCCGACCUGAGAGGGUGACCGGCCACAUUGGGACUGAGACACGGCCCAA
rnacentral:rRNA from 1 species